rnacentral:rRNA from 1 species
AGAGUUUGAUCCUGGCUCAGGAUGAACGCUAGCGGCAGGCCUAAUACAUGCAAGUCGAACGGUUCCAGCAAUGGAACGAGUGGCGCACGGGUGAGUAACGCGUACAGAAUCUGCCUCGAACUGGGGGAAAGUCAUUGGAAACGAUGAAUAAUCCCGCAUAAUGUACUGUGGAGGCAUCUCUGUGGUAAGAAAGACUUCGGUUGGUUUGAGAUGAUUGUGCGUCUGAUUAGCUAGUUGGAGUGGUAAAGGCACACCAAGGCUACGAUCAGUAGGGGGCGUGAGAGCGUGACCCCCCACACGGGUACUGAGAACGGACCCGACUCCUACGGGAGGCAGCAGUAAGGAAUAUUGGGCAAUGGGCGAAAGCCUGACCCAGCCAUGCCGCGUGAAGGAUGAAGGCGUUACGCGUCGUAAACUUCUUUUGUAUGGGAAGAAUGACGGGGAUUUAUCCCUGGAGAGACGGUACCAUAAGAAUAAGCACCGGCUAACUCCGUGCCAGCAGCCGCGGUAAUACGGAGGGUGCAAGCGUUAUCCGGAAUCACUGGGUUUAAAGGGUACGUAGGCUGUUAGUCAAGUCAUCAGUGAAAGGCCGUCGCUUAACGAUGGGAAUGCUGAUGAAACUGGCUAGCUAGAAUUGAGUUAAGGUAGUC